rnacentral:rRNA from 1 species
AUGUACAAGAACCAGCUGCAGGAGCUGGCGCAGAGGAGCUGCUUCAGCCUGCCGUCGUACGUGUGCACGCGGGAGGGGCCCGACCAUGCGCCCCGCUUCAAGGCCACCGUCACCUUCAACGGCGAGACCUUCCACGGGCCCACCUGCUGCACCACGCUCCGCCAGGCCGAGCACGCCGCCGCCGAGGUCGCGCUCGCCCGCCUCUCCACCCGCGGGCCAUCCACCUACCUCACCGCCAGAGUCCUCGACGAGACCGGGGUGUACAAGAACCUGCUGCAGGAGACGGCGCACCGGGCGGGGCUGAAGCUGCCGGCCUACACCACCGUGCGCUCCGGCCCGGGCCACUCGCCCGUCUUCGCCUCCAGCGUCGAGCUCGCCGGCCUCAGCUUCGCCGGCGACGCCGCCAGGACCAAGAAGCAGGCGGAGAAGAACGCCGCCAUGACCGCCUGGUACGCCCUGAAGCAGAUGCCGGAGGCGCGCAAGGAGCCCGGCAACGGCUGCGGCGGCGAGGAGCAGGAGCACGUGGUCGUCGCCAGAGUGCUCGCCGCCUUGAAGCAGCGUUGCGACGGCAAUGCGGCGUCGAAGCAGCACUGCCUCGCCGGCUCAUCUUCUUCCUCUGCUCCGAACCCGUCGCUCUACAGACACCAAUGGCUGCCUCUGAGCUCCCAUGCCGCACACCCGAGGACGCGCCACGUGCAGCCGCAGUCGCAGCCGGCCGGCCCCAGGAUACUGCCCCCGCUGCACAUGCUGCAGCGACCGGCGCCGUCCACCUCCCGUCACGGCGCCGAGCUGGAGCGGCAGAGGAGGAUCGAUGCGGCCGAGCUGGUGCAGAUGCUGGAGAGGGCCAUGGUGACCAACAGAGAAGAGGCAAUGCCGUCGGCGCCGUGCUACUACCCGCACGUCCCGGCGUACCACCACGCCGGCGCGGCGCCAAGAUACUUCGCCGCGGGCGGGUUCCACUCGCCGGCGAUGGCGGUGAGCGUGCGGUCGGUGAUCCCCGUGUGCUCCGCGCCGCCGCAGCCGGCCGCGGCCACCAAGGAUGACGAUGACGAUGACCGGAACGACAACCCGGCAGCACCUGCAGAGCACUAG